UUCAUUUCAUCAUCUCCUUCCUUUCUCUUCCUCCUCUUUCUUUCCAUCUUAAUAUUAACUGUCACGGUGGAAAUUAAAGACAUGUGAGAGUGAGAAUGAGAGAGAUUCAUGGAGAUGAAUAUUAUGAGAUUAGCAAGCUUUUUCUCUCUGCAAGUCCUGCCAUGCUUUUCCACAGCUUUCUUGAACUUCUUCUCCCUGUUUGGUGGUCUCCUACGUUUACCCAUCCACUGAAGUUCAAGAAAGCUGUGGGAAACCAUGGCUUUUCAGGACUUCUGUUUGCUGUUUUGGGCUGCGAUGAUCAAUUAAUGGUCUAAUUCCAUUUUCCUUUUGGUGCAUUCUUCAUGAAAAAAAUGAGAAGGUUUGGUGGAAGGAUGCUGCUGCAAUGAUCUUUCCAUACAUGGAUUAUGGUAAUUCCCAUCAUUUAAUUUCAUGAUUGUUUACAAAUUUUUUUCCCAGAAAAAGAAAAAAAGUUUAGAUCUGUCUGUUGAAUUGCCUGAAUUAUGUCAAGAGAUGGAACCCCAUGAAGAGAAAAAGGUAAAAACAAUUCAGAAACAUUUCUUUUUCUUUUCGAAUUUUUCUGAAUCGACUGCAACACGUUUGAGCCAUGCAUGGAGAGGGUAGUAGAAACAUUGAUUGUGAAUUUCUCAUUAAUACCGAUCCAUAUAUUGUUGAAUCAAAGUGAUGAUGAAAACUGAGAUAUCCUUGAGAGAAGAUUCCCUGCCUUUCCUUUUUAUCCUCAGUAUAAUGAUAGUUCUUCUUGCUGGGCCUUUUGAUUUUUCUUCCACAUAAUCUCCUACAUUUCCGUGAAAAGGGUUAAACUUUGUCACCAUGUGAACCCCAUGUGAGAGUCAUUUUUUUUAACCUCUGAGAAAGAGGGAGAGAGAGCAGCACUGGCAGAUGAAAUCACUUUUCGAAAUUCAUUAUGAUUUUAUGAUUAUUUUUGUAUAUAUCCUACAAUUUUAUAUCACCUGCAUUUCAUCAAUGGCAUUGCAUCUUAACUCAACCUGCUGCUCCUUUGUUUGUUUGCAGAGAAACUGGAAAAGAAAAAAAAAAAAAAAAACUCCAGGAUUUUACAAGAUAAUAAUCUUCACGCCAUUUUUAAAUUCAUCGGGAAUCUUUACAUCCUGCAAGCCAACAAAGUGUAAACCACAUUGCUUUGAAUGCUCUUGCCAAGACAAAGCAACAAGCCUGUCAGUCCCUGAAAAUUAGUUAAAAAUUAGAAAGACAAUGUAGUAAGGUAGUCCUGUACACAAUUUAAGAAAGAAGAUUUUGCUGCAUUGAAUGGCAAUUAAUGCUUAAAAUCAGCCCUUAUUUUUCUAAUUUUGCUUCCAGAGAAAAUUAAAUAUCAGACUAAGAUCAGUAGUUAUAACCAAGGCAUCAUCCUAUAAGUAUAAGCUGCAGCAUGGUUUAGUUUAGGCACUACUUUGUUAGCAGUAAGCACUAGGGAUAUGCUUUUAAUUUGAAAGUAGGCAAAAAUAUUGAGAAGCAAUGAGAAAAGGAAACGUACUUGAGAAAUACUUCCAAAAUGCUGCACACCCUGUGGCAACUUGUCCUACUUUUUUGCUGAGAUAGCAUGCAUGCUCUUUUGUUCUGCAAUACAGCCCCAAUCAUCAGUCUUCAUGCUAUCAAAUUCAGCUGUCUAAUAGUGUGUGAGCUUGGUGAUUCAGACGGCACAUGGCUGCAUGCUGACUUAACAAAUUGUCUGACAGGUUUGAUCUGAUGACCUCGUACAUCUAUUGAUUGUUAUCUCACUCAUUUACAUACUUCAUGAUGCAGCCUGCUAAGUCAAUGAAGCCAGUGGGAGAGGAAUUUUAGAGUUAAGGAAAGGAGAUAUUGUGGUGAGAGAAGUAGUACUGCUCCCAAAACAAAACACCCAUCUUCUUUGUGUUUGAAUUCAUUGGUGCUUCGGCAAUCUCCAGUCACAAUUUGGGAAGUCAUUUAUAUUGUUUGAGCAUGCAAUGUAAUCACAAGCAACAAUUAUGACAGGAAUACUUGUACAUAUUAUACUGAUAUAGAAAUGAAUGGCAUGCAUCUCAAGAUCAGUUUGUCUGGGGAUGUUUAGUAGAC